AGCUGGCUUUAAAUGAAAAGAGGAACCUGGGGGCGAGGAAGCCACAGUGGAGCCCAAGGGCAGGGUGUGGCCGCCUCUGGUGCAGGUCCCUCCCUCUCCCAGACUUUGCACUGGCCCGAGCUCCUUUCUCUACAGACUUUGCCUGUGCUGCCCCAUGGGAAAUGACUGCCCCCAGAUGCACAUGUAUACACUCAUACAACACGCAAACACAGAGGGUGACGCAGGCGUUGUGCAAAACACACACUCACACACACACGCACACAAAGCCACUCGAGUCUGGUGGACAGUGUGACUGCCUCUCACUGCGCAGCGUGGACAGUCUCAGUGGGCUUGCCUGCCCCAUGGGGCCAAACCCCGAGGCCCGGUGAUACGAAAUAAGGUCUCUCUCCCUCUGCUUGCUCGGAAGCCAGAAGGAACCCGGCUGAUAAGUCACUGUGGCCCGCUGCAGAAAGAGCUGAGUGCUCUCUUCACUUUGCCCGUGUUCUCUGUCUCCUGUCACUCUUCUCUCACCCAUUUCCCUUCCCACUUCCCUUUCCCUGUGUGAAUUCUGAGCAAAUCUCUGGAACCUUUUGAAGAAUAAGCAGCCCCCACUCCCAACCCAGCAGGAGCUCUCCCUCCUUCCCCCUCCUCCUCCUGGGCCCGCAGCCCAGCGAGCCUCCCUCCCUCUGGUCUGGGGGACCUUGGGUGCCUGAGCUGAGAAGCUGGACCUGGCAGCUUUUGGCUGGGUAUGCAGUGGGGACGGCCCCACGGUUCUGGUCACUGUCACCCUGCCCUCAGAGUCUCCCUCUGCUUGGGUCCCUGGGCAGGGUGUCCUAGCGCUCGCCCCUUCAGUGGUCCUCAGAGCCCAGCAGGGUUCCCCCCUGGACCAGCCCACCCAGGUCCUCUCAUAGCCCAGCAGAUCUGCCGCACGUCUACCUCAUUUUACAGAGGAGACAACUUGCAGAGAAGCCAAAGGGAAAUACGGCACAUGUUGUCCUUGCUUCCGCCAUGAGUGGGAGACGAGAUCCGGGCCCGCAAAGGACACCGAGUCCUGCACAGGAAGAAUCUAGAACUAGAGAAAAUGAAUGUGUCGUUGAAGCCACCUCAUCUAAGAUACUUUGUUACAGCAGCCCUAGCAAACUUACAUACAUCUUCUCCAGAAACAUCGAGAAGGCUCUAGCUGGGAAGAGAAGGCAACAGUUUCUUCUACACAUCAGCAGAGCCAGCGCCAACUCUGAAGCCACAACAGGUGCAUGUUGUUGCUUCUCCCAUGGUGAAUAUGCGGGUCCAGAGAUUGCCAGGUCGGGUGCCAUCCAUCCACAGUCAUCAGUUUUACAGGAGCAGUCAAGCGCAAUGGUGACUUCCUGUUGCAAUAUUUCACUUUCUCAGGCCACGGAUUUAGCUCAGUGGUUCCACUGCCGGCCUCACAAGCACAAGGUCCUAAGUUCAAUCCCCGGUACAAACAAAAACAAAAACACACUGUGAACAUUUCGCUUUCUCCCGGCGCCCCACCUGAGCAACCACAGGCGAUCAUCACGUGAUUCUGAUGCCACGGGGCAGCAGUACGCCAUUUGCCAGACUGAUGAGUCUGUCUCUGCGUUCGUACCCCAAAAGGACAACAACCCAAGCGCAGAGACCCAACUUGGAAGGUGCAUUUCCUGAGUAAGUCUGGGUCCAGUCAGCAAGACAGGAAGCAGCUAUACAUUUCACAGGGGAAUUCACAGAGAGAAGUGACUACAAAGGGAAAGGAUGGGUGGAUGACAGGGUGGGAGGGGGAGAGCUAGAGAACAAAAGGAAGGAGAGGUGGGGCCCAGAGAUCAGGAUGAGUAACCCUUGUCUCAGUCCCGCUGUGCUAUCACAGAAGAUUGCAAAUGUAAACUCUCGAGAGUCAGGAAGUACUAGGUCGGGGCACCCGCAAAUUUUUAGGGACGCGAGGGUCUCCUUGUUCCUAGAUAACCUCUCCCCCAUGUCUGCACAGGGUGCAAGGGGCAAGGGGUCUGCUGGAGCCUUUGAAAGGAGCUCUAGUCCGGUCACCAGGAGCUCUGCCGUGAUCCCACCACUGCCAAGGUCCACACCUAAUAAUAUCACAGUGGGGCAAGGGUCCAGUGCAUGAAGGCAGAGUCCGACCACAGCACCUCGGGGUACCCAGGGCUCAUAUCUGCUCCGCCAUCAGGGGGAAGCCACAGCUGGGGAGGAGCUGGCACUUCUGACUCUGAUCUAGGAGUCACUGUCUCAGCCAGGGCUGCAAACACUGAUAACAGCAGCCCCUGCACCAGGAUCCUGGGCCUCGAAUCGCCAGGCCUGGUGUCACAACUGCCAUCCUACUGGGACAGACACUUCUCUCCCCUCCUGCCUCUGUGCUCCAGCUGAGCAGGCUGUGAUCCCCAGAAACACAGAAGCCUGGAUCCCCAGAGCAGGGCGCAGGGGCCAGGUGGGCGCUGGGUGUGGUGUCUCCAGCGCACCUCAUGUGGCUCAGACCCCCCUGCCUGCUCUGAGUCGAUUCAGGCCCUCCCCCGCACUUGUCCACUUGGUUGACCUAGGCGCAUGCUCUGUCUCAGGCUGCUCUCUGAAGCGCUUUUCUAGGCCCACAGGAAUCACACAUCUUCACUAGGAGCAAGUUUCCAAAGGGCAGGCGGUGUGACGGAUUUCGGGUUAGGCCCCUAAUGCAGCCUGUGAUGGAUGAGUGAGUGAAUAAGAAUGAAAGAAUCAAUAGGUGCCAGACCUGCGCUUCGGAAAUCUGUGCAGUAGGUUGGGGUCUUCUCCCUCUGGAGGUCCUCCCUCUGGGACCCAGCAUGAGUCUUUCCUCCAGCCCCACCAUCCCGCGCCAGGCCCCGCCCUACCCUCCGUGUCCUUCCUCGGGACCCUGCGUCUGGCUUUCAAGGGUGUGGAGCUGGAGCUCUGCUGUCCAUGGCACAGUCCCCAGCCUUGUGGCAUGAAACACACAGAUGGCUAUUUAUAACCAGGGCUAUUUAUAUAGAAUUUAUGAAAAAAACCUCUGUGGUUGAACAAAUUUGGAAAUUUCAGGUUUAAGUAGAUUAAAGAGCACUCUUCACUGCAGAACUUUUCAGAUCUUCAAGAUGUUAAGGUGACCGUCCAGGAAAGGGAAGCAUUAGUUACAUUCUCCAGGCUUGUGUAACCACAAAACCUUUCUUUUCAGGAACCCUUACACAUCGUUUCAUAACUGAUAAAUUAUGAUUUUCAAUAUAUUUCACUGAUCUACGAACAGGUAACUCAUGUGCACAGCACAAGAUUCAGCAGAUUCCCAGGCCCCAGGCGGCAGGUCGGAGGGACCAGGCCCUGUGCUCGGCUCCUUCUCAUUGGCUUCUCCGGCAGCAGGCUGAGGACUGUGGAGGGUCCUGUGGGAUGAAAAUGAUUAAGACUGGCUUUAGGCUACAGCCUUCAAGAGCCCUAAGAAAUCUUUUUUUCUUUUUGGU